AAAGAGACCUGACACCCAGUACGACUCUUCUGCCAUGAUUGUGUUUUCACUGGAGGAAGCUGUUCGUGAACAAAAGGGAAAGAAGCCACUGAUAGAAAAGAGACAGGCAUGUUUUUUUCAUACACAAUAUGCAGCAUGGCUAACAUGAAAAUAUGUUUUACCUGUCUUCACAUGUAUAAUGGAUAUCCCAUUACUUGCCUUUUCAACAAAUGGAAGAGGUUCUGUAAGGAAGAGAGAGAAUUUGGAUAAACAAUUAAAAAGUGAAAGUAAAUAAAAUAAAAUAAAACCGAGUCUCA
rnacentral:lncRNA from 1 species